AUGGCUCAGUGACUCUGUGCCAGGCUGGUGUGGCCUCAAAGGCUGCCCCUGCUGCUGGCAGAGUGUGUGAAGCCUCUGCUGAGCGGGCAGCGGCAUCCCCCCGAACACCUUCUCACAGCAGGGACGGAGAUGGACCCAGCCCAGCGUGUGGAAAUGGAUCUCUCCAGCUGAACGCUCAGGUGAAGCGAGCAGAGAGCAUGCCCAGCAUGAACCAGGUGAGCUGCACAUCUCCAGGGCAGAACAACACGGGAGCAGCAGGGAGAGCUGGCUUUGUCCUGGAGGAUCCAGGAGCUCGCGGUGGAUAUCUGAGCCUGCAGCUCCAGGCUGCCGCAGGACCCAAGGGCUGCACACACCCAGAGUGUGCAGGUUCGCUCGUAUUGUAAUUUGCAAAUGGCACGGCAAAUGCCACGAGAGCAGCUGGUGAAGGUGGCUCAGAAGCAAUGACAAGAAUGUGCUGCAAAGUUGGGUCCAGCAGUCCAGCUUCCCGACAGGGCAAUUCUGAAGCGCUGAG